rnacentral:rRNA from 1 species
GGGGAAUAACUCCGGGAAACUGGAGCUAAUACCGCAUAAUCUUCCCUUGGCAUAAGCCAGGGGAAGCAAAACCUUCGGGUGCUUGAGGAGGGGUCCGCGUUCGAUCAGCUUGUUGGUGAGGUAACGGCUCACCAAGGCUGAGACCGAUAGCCGGUCUGAGAGGAUGGUCGGCCACACUGGAACUGAGACACGGUCCAGACUCCUACGGGAGGCAGCAGUGAGGAAUAUUGCGCAAUGGGGGAAACCCUGACGCAGCGACGCCGCGUGGAGGAUGAAGGCCCUCGGGUCGCAAACUCCUUUCGCCAGGGACGAAAGGCUCUUCGGAGUUUGACGGUACCUGGAUAAGAAGCCCCGGCUAACUACGUGCCAGCAGCCGCGGUAAUACGUAGGGGGCGAGCGUUGCUCGGAAUCACUG